UUGAGGAAGCAGUUCUGACAGUAAGGCUUGUCGUUCUGCUCCUUGAAGGUGCCCUUGUUGAGCUGCUUGAGGCAGAAGGCACAGACGAAGUGCUCGGGGUGGAACUUCUUGGCCAUGGCGGUGAUGCAGCGGCCGGUGAUGGGCUUCUGGCAGCCAGAACACAGCGAGCCGCGCCGCUCGUGGUAGUGCACCUCACAGUAGGGCUGCCCGUCGUGCUCGAAGAAGCUGCCGUUCACGAAUGGCGUGAAGCAUUCCUGCCAGGCGGAGAGAGGGGCUCAGGGAGCUGCCCCUCGGGCUAGAGCUGCACCCUGUGUGAUGGGGCCGAGGUGGGCAUAGUCGGCACGCUCGGAGUGACUCCUACUUGCUAGGCGUUUCCCAUGUGCCGUGUUGUCCUAAACGCUCAUUUUUCAUUUUUAUUUUAUUAAAUAAAUUUUUUUUGUAGA
ensembl:lncRNA PXN-AS1 PXN antisense RNA 1